AUGGACCUCGUGGGCAGGAACGUGCAUCAGCGCUGGUUCCUCCUCUUUCUGGUGGCAGCUCCUGGAUGCGUCCUGUCCCAGAUACAGCUGCAGGAGUCGGGACCAAGCCUGGUGACGCCCUCGCAGAUGCUGUCCCUCACCUGCUCGGUCUCUGGAUUCUCUCUAACCAGCAAUGGUGUAUACUGGGUCCGCCAGGUCCCUGGAAAGGGGCUGGAUUGGAUUGGUGCUAUAUGGGCUAGUGGAAUCACAAAGUAUAAUCCAAGUCUUCAGUCCCGAGUCAGCAUCUCCAGGGACACCUCCAAGAACCAAGUUUACCUAAAACUGAGCAACUCGGUAACUGAGGACACCGCCGUGUAUUACUGUGCA